rnacentral:tRNA from 1 species
UGUACUGGAAAGUGUAUCUAGUAAUUUAUUAAAGUAUAGCUAAACAAGUUUAGUAUUUCAUUUACGUUGAA